AGCGGCGGACGGGUGAGUAACACGUGGGUAACCUGCCUCAUACAGGGGGAUAACAGUUAGAAAUGACUGCUAAUACCGCAUAAGACCACAGGGCCGCAUGGCCCGGUGGUAAAAACUCCGGUGGUAUGAGAUGGACCCGCGUCUGAUUAGCUGGUUGGUGGGGUAACGGCCUACCAAGGCAACGAUCAGUAGCCGACCUGAGAGGGUGACCGGCCACAUUGGGACUGAGACACGGCCCAAACUCCUACGGGAGGCAGCAGUGGGGAAUAUUGCACAAUGGGCGAAAGCCUGAUGCAGCGACGCCGCGUGAAGGAUGAAGUAUUUCGGUAUGUAAACUUCUAUCAGCAGGGAAGAAAAUGACGGUACCUGACUAAGAAGCCCCGGCUAACUACGUGCCAGCAGCCGCGGUAAUACGUAGGGGGCAAGCGUUAUCCGGAUUUACUGGGUGUAAAGGGAGCGUAGACGGCGAUGCAAGCCAGAUGUGAAAGCCCGGGGCUCAACCCCGGGACUGCAUUUGGAACUGUGUGGCUGGAGUGUCGGAGAGGCAAGUGGAAUUCCUAGUGUAGCGGUGAAAUGCGUAGAUAUUAGGAGGAACACCAGUGGCGAAGGCGGCUUGCUGGACGAUGACUGACGUUGAGGCUCGAAAGCGUGGGGAGCAAACAGGAUUAGAUACCCUGGUAGUCCACGCCGUAAACGAUGACUACUA
rnacentral:rRNA from 1 species